rnacentral:snRNA from 13 species
AGCUAAUACAGCUUUUAGAAUUUUGUCUAGCAGGUUUUCUGAAUUUGGUUGGAAAACCUAU